rnacentral:lncRNA from 1 species
AGUCCCACCCCCCGACCUCCGGGGAGGAGAGAGGGAUUGAAGGUUAAGUUGAUCUUCAAUGGCCAAUGAUUUAAUCAAUCAUGCCUGUGUAAUGAAGCCUUCAUAAAAACCUAAAAAAGGACGGGGUUUGGAGAGCUUCCUGUAAGCGAACCCGUGAAGGUUCCAGGAGGAUGGCGCACCCGGAAAGGGCGUGGAAGCUCCGCGCCCCUUCCCACAGACUUUCCCCCAUCCAUCUCUUCAUCUGGUGUUCAUCGAUAGCCUUUGUAAUGUCCUUAAUAGUAAACCGGAAAACGAGAAAGAUGUGCAAGGAUGCACACCAAACUGUUGUCGUCGUCACUGGUUUCCUAAUGGGAAGGAUAAGAGGAAGAGGAGAGUGGAGGAAGAAGAGAAUCACCACAUAUCGUAUUUAGAGGUCCUGCAGAAAGGGCAGAGCGAGUUUCAUGUUUGAGUGCAGCGGAUGCAUGGGCAAAGCAUUACACAGCCGCUCCAUGGAAGUGACAAUGAGCCUUGUCUUUCACACGUAACUCCAGGAACCAGGGGAAACAAAACCAAUUCCACCCAGAGGUACAGACAAAGAAGAGCACCCUCCCAAAGGAGCCCGCAUGAUAAGUGGCCACGGCGAACAUCACUGUGAUCAGUCAGAAAGGCAGGCGAGUUAUUAGCUUAGCCCUGAACCUCCUACUUAAUGUAGAACCAGUGGUGAUGGUUAACAGACCCUGGCUGCAGUGACAAGCCUGGGACCUGCUCGAGGAAAUCCAAUUGAAAAGCAGCCAAGAGGAACAACAAGCUAGAAACAGAUGUUCCAGCUACCAGGAUGUGCACGCAUUUAACCUGAACAUGUAGUUGGGGUGGGAUGGUAGCAUUCGUUUCUAAAUAUAGUGAUUUCACUUCUUCCCCCAUAUAGAUAUUGUCAAGUUUAAUUAUAGCCAUCCACAUUAGUUUUGUCAAAUUUUCAGCAAUUUCUUUAAAAUAAGAAGAUGUCAGAAUGAUAACUGCUAUUAAGGGAAUUCAGGGUGUUUGGUUUAUCUACCCAGUCUUACUAAAACAUUUCAGUUAAAUCAUCCACUCUUAAACUCCAGUCUCAUAGCAAUUAAAAAUUAUCUUUUAAAAAAUUGCCCAAAUGAAAUUCCAACAGUUCAUGUAAUUAUUUGAUUUAAUAUUACCAUGUUAGUAAAAUAUCUUUAAGAUAGUUAUAUUUUCAUGAGUCACUUUCUUAGUCACUUCUAGUUCCUAAAUAGGGGAGUUUGGGUUGACAGAGGUGUGAUAACCAUGCGAACAGGGGCUAGAAUAUAAGCUUAACAGAAUCAGUUAAUUAGAUUUGGAAGAGAGUUGAGUCUUGUGAACCACAGUGAUAUGUCAUGUACAUUAGGAAACAUUCUCCUUUACGUCAACACAAUUCUGGUUUUCUCUAAUGGGCUUUAUACGAGGAGAGAGACCAUCUCACUGUGUUGAUUUUUCUCAAGAAAAAAAUCAAUACUC